CUCUCGGGGGGGAUAUCGUCGCGCACCCCGGAUCCGAGCUCGGUCCCGUGCCUUGGCCUCCCGCGGAUCUUCCUUGCUGCGAGGCUUCCGUGGCGGUUUUACCGUCGCGGUCGUUCUCUUCGGCCGCCAUUCAACGCUCAGCUCAGAACUGGCACGGACUAGGGGAAUCCGACUGUCUAAUUAAAACAAAGCAUUGCGAUGGCCCCCAAGGGUGUUGACGCAAUGUGAUUUCUGCCCAGUGCUCUGAAUGUCAACGUGAAGAAAUUCAAAAAAGCGCGGGUAAACGGCGGGAGUAACUAUGACUCUCUUAAGUCAAUAGUUACUCGGGGACUGGCAGGAUAUUGGUCUUGCCUGCCCAAGUCACACUCCUACCUCCUCGGGGUACCGCCGGUAACAUGCGCACGUCCACAUCAGCGAGGGGUGUAUAUUCCCCCCGGAUGUGGCGGCGCAUGGCUAAACGGAGUGUGGCGACGAAGGAGCGAAAGACAACACCUCAAACGGUUCUCCGUAACGGCUGUUUGGAGCCGUGAAUAAUGGAGCCCAAAGUAAAGUAAAGUAAACUUGGAACUUGUUCCUUCGCCCAGUUGACGACCGGAACGACCAAGGACGCGAUUUGGAUUACGAUUGGAUAUCUGUAUCGAGUUCAUAAAAAAUAGUUAAAUUCGACAAUAAGGAGAAUAGUGCCUCGGACGCAGCGCCUCUCAGUCCCGGAGGCGCUGUGGCGGAUUUAUCCGCUUCGGAGGGGACUACGGGUAACGACCAGGCAACGUCCCCGGCUAUGAGUUUGAUUACUGUGCCGCUCGUGGGCAAUCGGGUUACCUGUCCAGAAUGCGAGAAAAGGGAAACUAACCUUUUCUUUUUAAAUCUGUCGGACCUGGACAGGCAUUUAACACAACACCACCCGGAUGCCCCGAUCUUUUGGUCUUGUAUUAACUGCGCGAAAUGCUUCCCGAAACUUCAUGGGGCUAGAUGUCACAUACCUAAGUGUGGUGGCGCUAGCAGCCAGGCCAGGACAGGACAGUUUUAUUGUGAGGCCUGUCCCAUGAGUUUUGGAUCGCGCAGAGGGCUAUCCACCCACGAACGGCAUGCGCACCCUGCCGUUAGAAAUAUCAAAAGAAGGGGAGCGGACCCCCCAGAAGAAAGUACAAAGUCAUGGAGAGUAGAAGAGGUAGCACUCUUGAAGGGGCUAUGGGGAAUAUUUAAAAAUCAUAAAUACCCCAACAAAGAAAUUAGUAAAUUCCUCACCACGAAAACUAUCGAUCAAAUCAAGUACCAAAGGAAAAAGUUAAACUUAAUUGGUGAGGAAAGCCCCCAAGAGGCUAUCUCAUUGGCAACAGAGGGAGGGUGCGAUCUCGUUAGUUCAGGCAAUGCCAGUUUUGGAUCGCCUGUAGGCCGCAACGAGAAUGAAGAGCGCAUCCACGAAUGGAAGCUCUCGCUAAAAAACGAAAUAAAUAAGCCAACCGAGGUGCCCCCUAUUUUAAAGGAGGUUUACAAUCGGUUGAUGUUAAUCUGGGAAGAGCACCAAGAUGAUCGAGACUCUCUAACGGAGAGUCUCGAUCACUUUAUACGCACAGCUCUAUACGAGCUUAUAAACAAAAUAAACAAAAACCAAACGGAUUUAAAAAUUAAAAGAGCAGCCAAAACAAAAAGCCCAAAAAAUAAUAGAAACUCCAGGAAGCGAUUCUCAUACGCUCGUUGCCAGGAGUUAUUUCACGAAUGCCCAAGGAGACUGGCUGAUGCCGUGGUCAAUAACGAUCAGGCAUAUCUCGAACCAGCCAGACAACCUCCCGGAUCAGAGGAAGUGAGGGGGCUCUACGAAAAGCUGUGGGGACAAGUGGGUUCCACAUACGUCCCGAUUCCAGUUACAAGAGCCCCCAACCUAUCCCUAUCCGAGAUCUUCCCGCCGAUAACGGCUGAGGAUGUGGGGGAGAAGAUCGGCAGAAUAAGAAAGAAAGCUGCUGCAGGACCGGAUGGAUUACAGCGAGAUCACUUAACCAUCCCCGGCCUGCCCAUCAUAAUGGCUAAAAUUUAUAAUAUACUUAUCUAUUGUUCUUAUUUUCCUUCCGCAUGGAAGGAAAAUAGAACAACUCUUAUUCCUAAAGCAAAUAAGCCAAGCAGCCGGGUCGAGAACUGGCGACCCAUUACAAUCAGUCCGAUUUUAGGCCGAAUCUUCUCCUCUAUUAUCGACGGGAGGAUAAGAAGAGGCGUUGUGUUAAAUAUGAGACAGAAGGGCUUUACAUCCGAAAACGGAUGUAAAAUCAACAUCGAGUUAUUAAACUCUGCCCUAAACCAUAGCAAGAGAAACCGCGGCGGGAUAUUCACUAUCGUGGAUAUCUCGAAAGCAUUUGACACAGUGCCUCAUGCAGCCUUAAAACCUUGUCUGGCAAAAAAGGGUGUGCCCGACCCUAUAGUCGAGUUAAUCGACGAGAUGUAUAAGAAUACAAAAACUACCAUAAAAACUAAAGACGGCGGGGUCGAGAUUCUGAUCCGCCGAGGAGUU
rnacentral:rRNA from 1 species